rfam:Lachnospiraceae bacterium COE1 genomic scaffold acPFN-supercont1.1, whole genome shotgun sequence.
UAAUGUCUUCAGGGCAGGGUGAAAUUCCCGAUCGGCGGUUAUAGUCCGCGGGCGCGAAAGCGCGGGGUUUGGUGAAAUUCCAAAACCGACGGUAUAGUCCGGAUUAAAGAAGGUGUAU